rnacentral:rRNA from 1 species
UCGCAGGCUGCAACCCGCCUGCGUGAAGUUGGAAUCGCUAGUAAUCGCGGAUCAGCAUGCCGCGGUGAAUACGUUCCCGGGCCUUGUACACACCGCCCGUCACACCAUGAGAGUCGGGAACACCCGAAGUCCGUAGCCUAACCGCAAGGGGGGCGCGGCCGAAGGUGGGUUCGAUAAUUGGGGUGAAGUCGUAACAAGGUACC